CCAAUAGCGUAUAUUAAAGUUGUUGCAGUUAAAAAGCUCGUAGUUGAAUUUCGGGAUUGACACAUCGGUCGUGCCUUAAGGGGUAUGAACUGGUGUAGUCAAUUUCUCACCUUCUGGAGAACCGCGAUGCCCUUAAUUGGGUGUCACGGGGAACCAGGACCUUUACUUUGAAAAAAUUAGAGUGUUUAAAGCAGGCAUUUUGCUUGAAUACAUUAGCAUGGAAUAAUAAAAUAGGACGGCAUGAUUCUAUUUUGUUGGUUUCUAGGAUCACCGUAAUGAUUAAUAGGGAUAGUUGGGGGCAUUAGUAUUCAAUUGUCAGAGGUGAAAUUCUUGGAUUUAUUGAAGACUAACUACUGCGAAAGCAUUUGCCAAGGAUGUUUUCAUUAAUCAAGAACGAAAGUUAGGGGAUCGAAGACGAUCAGAUACCGUCGUAGUCUUAACCAUAAACUAUGCCGACUAGGAAUCAGACGAUGUUAAUUUUUUAAUGACUCGUUUGGCACCUUACG
rnacentral:ncRNA from 2 species